rnacentral:rRNA from 1 species
GAUGAACGCUGGCGGCGUGCCUAAUACAUGCAAGUCGAGCGAACAGACGAGGAGCUUGCUCCUCUGACGUUAGCGGCGGACGGGUGAGUAACACGUGGAUAACCUACCUAUAAGACUGGGAUAACUUCGGGAAACCGGAGCUAAUACCGGAUAAUAUAUUGAACCGCAUGGUUCAAUAGUCAAAGACGGUUUUGCUGUCACUUAUAGAUGGAUCCGCGCCGCAUUAGCUAGUUGGUAAGGUAACGGCUUACCAAGGCAACGAUGCGUAGCCGACCUGAGAGGGUGAUCGGCCACACUGGAACUGAGACACGGUCCAGACUCUUACGGGAGGCAGCAGUAGGGAAUCUUCCGCAAAGGGCGAAAGCCUGACGGAGCAACGCCGCGUGAGUGAUGAAGGUCUUCGGAUCGUAAAACUCUGUUAUUAGGGAAGAACAAAUGUGUAAGUAACUAUGCACGUCUUGACGGUACCUAAUCAGAAAGCCACGGCUAACUACGUG